rnacentral:ncRNA from 1 species
UUAUGCUUGCGCGAAUGAACCGCUUCCUGUCCGCUCUCCGACGUCGCCGCUCGCCGCUCCGCCCGGAUGCCGCCGGCUCGUCACGGACUCGCGCGUAACACUCGUCACUUUGUUACGCACAAGCUGUUCGAACCACACAGCCACGGCAUCCCGUGGCUUUUUU